CAGAAAUAUAUCUCAUAUUUGUAAAUGGAGUAUGAGCAAGUCUUAAAUGCCAAAUGUAAUUCAUGUCAGUUGUAAAAACAUUAUUACAGAUGGAACUAUAUACAUGUGAGGGCAAUGGAACAGCCUUGCUAUCAGACAAAAUGUCAUCAUUACAAGAAGUAGACACAGAAGGCAAUGGAACAACCUUGCUAUCAGACAAAAUGUCAUCAUUACAAGAAGCAGACACAGAACAAACAGAAGCAGAGGAACAACUAACAGAGGAAGAAGGGGAAGGAGGAACCCAAGCCAGUUUAUAUAA
rnacentral:lncRNA from 1 species